rnacentral:misc_RNA from 1 species
GGUCAAGGCUUUAAUAUUUAAGAUUUUUGUAUUCAUUUAAUAUAUAUACCCAUUUACUCUGUAUUGCAAAAUUUCAGAGAAAAAGGUGCAUAAUUGCAGUACAUAGUAUUUGACAUAGACGAUGUGAAAAAAUGCUCAGGUAUAAAUCAGUUUCUCUUAUUUAGUUAUGAAAUCUUACAUCAUAUUGGCAAUGUACAUGUAUACGCACUGUCCUUCUUAUCUCUAUUUAAGAAUGUUUCUUAUAUUUAAUAAAGAGUUACUGAUAACGUAUUUUACUUGUUAGUUUAAAAAAUUCAACCCUCAUUCAUUAUGCACAUUUAAAUGCUUUAUAUUUUAAUUAAUAAAUGUGUACUGACUAUAUAGUACAGUACAUGUAGAUCUACUAAGUGUUAAUGUCUGCAUGUUGAUUAUUUCAUAGAAAACAAAAUGUUUCCAAGUCAUGGGUAUCUCUAUCUUGUUUGAAGUACAUGCUGUGCUUCACUCUAUACUUCAAAAUAAAUUUAAUUAUUAUUUAGAUUGCAUAAUAUGAACAAAACCUCAUCAAUUAUUAUAGAGAACUCAAUUAUUGUGGGAUUGAGUUCUUAUUUUGAUCUGUCUGUAGUUCAAAGCUUUACUUGCCUUAACAAUACUUUGUAAUUAUAAUCUGUCAUUAUGCAAUGCAACACACAAUAAAGAAAAGGAAAAAAAUAACAAAGG